CCUGGCCAUUAGAGGCUGGGCCACAUGUCAAUUUAUUUGCACAUAUUUAAGUUUAUUUUAAGUCAGUAAAAUUCAACUUUGACAAUUAGUAAAGGGUUUCUUUUUUAGAAAAAAAGAAACUACUGUGGUAGAAAAAACUACAAUUGUGAAAAUUGAAAAAGUGGUGGCAGAUAAAAAUCUGAUAAUCGGUAAAUUGGCUAAUCCCA
rnacentral:ncRNA from 1 species